CCCCUGCUCUAGACUCAUUCAAAACCUACCCCAAACCCUGACCAAGGACCCGUCCCAAAACCCGAAACCGGCCUAUUUGAGAUGUUUCCCUCCUUGAGUACAACUCAUUGAAAUGAUCAAGAUUGUCAUCAGGCUUCUGCUGAGCUGAUUGAUGAGCUCGAUUGAAAAAAAUGAAAGAAACAUUUUAGACAGGGCACGUAAAAUAAACAACUGCAGCCACGUGGAUGUCCAAGUGUGCACACCCUCUUUCUUGUGCAUGGGGAUAUGGUUGUAUUCUCCAUUUCAAGUUCCUAUGAUUAACCGCAGAUAAAGUUCAGAUUUUCUAAUCGGCUUUUCCUGUCUUUCUUUUACUGUCUAACAAAAGCCAGAAAGUUUUGUGCUCACAGUGACUGCUGUUUAGAACUGUUCAUAACUGCCUCCACCUUGACUCAGGCCCAACUGAAGAAAAACAACCAAGACAUGAUGCUGCUACUCAAAAAUGCUGCUAAUCAAAGCCAAGACGGGGGAACAACAAAAUCUGCUGCAAACUGACCAUCUCACCACGAGAGGACAGCUAAGAGACUGGAGUGACGUAGGCUGAAGCUUUAAAGAAGCAUUUGAAUCACACGACCUUCCUCCUUGUGCUGACCUCUGCGGGCCUUUGUUGAGGAACAAAGAAUGCUCAGGAAUCUCUGUUCAGGAGAAAUAAAAGACGCAGGGGAGGGAGGGAGUGUCUGUAUGGCAGCUAUGAAGUCGAGCUCGACCGACCUGAUUGGAGAAGCUGGAAUUUCCUGUCCAUCCUGUUCCUCCGAGCAAUUGCCGGUCCCUCCUCUGUAACGUUUUCGCCACUUCUCACAACCGGCAUUAUUGGGCUCGCUGCAUAUGAGACUCACCGAGAUUACUAAACCUCAAAGCCAAUAAGCGUAAGGUCCUGUAUAAUGCAUCAGGACCUGACUUUAGACAAUGCGCCAUUAGUGCUGAUAAAUAACUCAAGAGCUCAGACUUUCUGCUGCAAAGGAAAUAGGGCUCUCAGUUGAACCCCCGUGGGACAUAUUGCUUUUAUAACAACACUUUUUAUGUUGAAAUAUAUGCUACCAUAUGUUUACAGAUACCAAAACAAGAAGGGAUGAAUGCAGCUUCAGUCACGUCUCAGACUGGAAUAAUUGACUUUGGUGUUUUUGAAAGUCCCGCCCACAUUGACUCACAGUAGCCAUCUGCACUUAUUUUGAUAUUGCUGGUAA